rnacentral:lncRNA from 1 species
UUUAACAGAAUUGAAACUUACAAAAGUAGUUGCGUAAUAAAAAAUGUUUCUUUGUUUGAUUAGUCUCUCUAAUACGCAAUUUCUUAUGCGUAAUAGCAUAAUGACAAUACAAUAUUUGUUCUUUAUCUGUGCAUUUCAAGGGGGUAUAAAGGUGGUUGGUUUUUUAGAAUUCACUGCAUUUACAUUUUUUCAAUAUGAGUGUGUCUGAUAUUUCUAAAGAAGCUUUCGAUCUCAUUCUUGAGGAAAACUCUGAUUCCGAACUAGAAGGAGAGGACGUGUCGGAAGAAGAAGAUGAGGAGGAGUACAACCCGGACUCCAACGAAUCAUCAUCAGAAGAAGAAACCUCAAAUGUGGAAAGAGAGACUUUUAUCUCAAAAAAUAGUUCUGUAACGUGGUCCUCAACAUCCUAUGAUCACCAUGGAAGGCAUGCGGAAUAGAAUGUGAUAAAAAUGGCUCCAGGACCAACAAGAUAUGCCGUUUCUCGUGCAAAUGAUAUUGUUUCGAUCUUCAACCUCUUUCUGACACCCAAAGUUGAAAAAAUUACCAUGGAGAUGAAUAAUAGAGAAGGUUUUCUAAAGUAUGGAGACGGCUGGAAAAAAAUGGACUCGCCAGACCUGCGGGCGCUUAUCUAGGACUGUUAAUCUUUGCAGGAGUCUAUAGAUCUCGAGGUGAGGCAGCUACUAGUCUUUGGGAUAGAGAGAGUGGCAGACCAAUUUUUCGAGCUAUAAUGCCCCUAAAAGUAUUUCACCUCUACUCGAGACUACUUCGAUUUGACGACCGCGAGUCAAGACCAGCAAGACGUGUGUCCGAUAAACUUACAGCUAUAAGAGAGGUUUGGGACAAUUGGGUAGAGCAGCUACCAUACCUCUACAAUCCUGGGAGUGACGUUACCAUUGAUGAGCAAUUGGUUCCUUUUAGAGAAAAAUGUCAGCAGUUUUGGAGACCUAUAAUAAGAAUGGCACUUUUAGAUACUUAUUAUAAAAAUUGUAAAUAUUUAAUUUUUC